UACGUAGGGGGCAAGCGUUGUCCGGAAUUAUUGGGCGUAAAGAGCACGUAGGCGGUCCGGUAAGUCGGUUGUGAAAGUCGGGGGCUCAACCCUCGGAUGCCGAUCGAUACUGUCGGGCUAGAGUCCGGAAGAGGCGAGUGGAAUUCCCGGUGUAGCGGUGAAAGUGACGCAGAUAUCAGGAGGAACACCAACGGCGAAGGCAGCUCGCUGGGCCGACACUGACGCUGGAUGCGCGAAAGCUAGGGGAGCGAACGGGG
rnacentral:rRNA from 1 species